rnacentral:rRNA from 1 species
CAGUCGCCGCGGGAAUACGAAGGGGGCUAGCGUUGCUCGGAAUGACUGGGCGUAAAGGGCGCGUAGGCGGCGGCCAAAGUCAGGCGUGAAAUUCCCGGGGCUCAACCCCGGAACUGCAUCCGAUACUGCCAUGCUAGAGGAUUGGAGAGGUAGCUGGAAUUCUUGGUGUAGCAGUGAAAUGCGUGGAGAUCAAGAGGAACACUCGUGGCGAAAGCGAGCUACUGGACAAUAACUGACGCUGAGGCUCGAAGGCCAGGGUAGCGAAAGGGAUUAGAUACCCCCGUAGUCCCUGUCUCUUAUU